CCCCCUAUAGCUUAUGUAAAGUGUUGCCUUGAAGCGGCAGAGAAGAGUUUUCUCUGGGGGGA
rnacentral:tRNA from 1 species